rnacentral:tRNA from 1 species
UCCCUGGUAGCUCAAUGGGUGGAGAAUCUGCCUGCCAACGCAGGAGACACAGGUUCGAUCCCUGGUCUGGGAG